GCCGCUGAAACAAUGAGAGCGGCCGGCACCCCAGGUGCAGAGAGCGACCCCGAGAUCCCGACAGGUGACUGUUGUUAUUGAAGAUGAUAGGAUUGAUGACGUGCUGAAAACUAUGACAGACAAGGCACCUCCUGUGAAUAUUGCGCAAUUAUAGAUCCGGAUUUUGAACCACUUUAAUAAUGAAGCAGCAGCACCGGGUGUUUGAGGUGGUGGCAAUCUUCGCUGAUUUGGCUGUUCCCAAUGUUUACAUUAUUUAGUCUUGCAAAAAUAAUCCUGUGCACUUGGAUGUGAAAUGCUGUUCAGUUUUAUUUUUUUAUGUUGUUAUCCUUGGAUGUACAAAAAAAACCAUACCAGAAAAUGAUCUGUAUAGAUACUCUGUUUUAUUUUGGUCCUCUUUUCAAAGUUACCAGGAAUGUGUUGAAGAUAAGAGAACUUUUCUAAGGAAUGAUGGAUACGUAGAAAGAAUCCCUGUUUUAUUUUAAAAUGAAUUGUAAAGCUGUGUUUCUUUCUUGCUGCAAGCUAUCUGCCCAAGUUAAUGCAAAUGGAUACCUUUUAUAUGUCAGGAAAGAACAACCAUAAAAAACAAAAAAAACAAAGAAAAAAAAUGCUUGAGCUUUUUCUAACCUCUCUCUGCAGUCUGUGGGGUGCGCAGCCUGUUUUUUUCCUCUGAUAUUGUGUCAGUUUAUUUUCUUUAAUGGACUGUAAAAAAAAAUGUAAUCACAAGAGUGCCAAAUAUCUUGAAAUGCCAAAAGGCAUUUUGGUUUCUUUUCGUUUUCUUCGUGCUCUGAGUCCGUGUACAGGAAUGCUUAGAGUGUCUUUCUGUUAUUUAUAGGGGUUCUCUUAAGGCACACCAGCUGCCUGUUUUGCAUGGUAUUUGCAAAAAUGCCUCUUGCGUGAGGAAAUCUUUUAUUUUUUUUUGUUUUGUUUGCAACUUUGGACCUCAAGAGGUUUCUUCCCUUCCCUCCCCUGGUCCUCUUUUCUUAACUCGACAUUCUGUAUGUUGCACCUUUAACCAGCACACAGGGCUAUUUCUCCGAUGUACAAUAAAAGAACUGUUCCUGUGUCUCA